rnacentral:rRNA from 1 species
AGAGUUUGAUUCUGGCUCAGAAUGAACGCUGGCGGCGUGCUUAACACAUGCAAGUCGAACGGAAUCCAAGGAGCUUGCUCUGGAAGAUUUAGUGGCGAACGGGUGAGUAUCACGUGAGCAACCUGCCCCGAAGACUGGGAUAACACCGGGAAACCGGUGCUAAUACUGGAUGCCUUCCAAUGACCGCAUGGUCGAUGGAAGAAAUGUUUUUUCGCUUCGGGAGGGGCUCGCGGUCCAUCAGCUUGUUGGCGGGGUAAUGGCCCACCAAGGCAUCGACGGAUAGCUGGUCUGAGAGGACGAUCAGCCACACUGGAACUGAGACACGGUCCAGACUCCUACGGGAGGCAGCAGUGGGGAAUCUUGCGCAAUGGACGAAAGUCUGACGCAGCAACGCCGCGUGAGGGACGAAGGCUUUCUGAGUUGUAAACCUCUUUCGACAGGGACGAUAAUGACGGUACCUGUAGAAGAAGCACCGGCCAACUAUGUGCCAGCAGCCGCGGUGAUACAUAGGGUGCGAGCGUUAUUCGGAUUUAUUGGGCGUAAAGAGCUCGUAGGCGGUUCGAUAAGUCGGGUGUUAAAUCCACAGGCUCAACCUGUGGCAGCCAUCCGAAACUGUCGUGACUAGAGUUUGGUAGGGGAUCACGGAAUUCCUGGUGUAGCGGUGGAAUGCGCAGAUAUCAGGAGGAACACCAGCAGCGAAGGCGGUGAUCUGGGCCAAUACUGACGCUGAGGAGCGAAAGCGUGGGGAGCGAACAGGAUUAGAUACCCUGGUAGUCCACGCCGUAAACGGUGGGCACUAGGUGUGGGGACUUUUCAACGGUUUCCGCGCCGCAGCUAACGCAUUAAGUGCCCCGCCUGGGGAGUACGGUCGCAAGACUAAAACUCAAAGAAAUUGACGGGGGCCAGCACAAGCAGCGGAGCAUGUGGCUUAAUUCGAUGCAACGCGAAAAACCUUACCUAGAUUUGACAUGCUG